UUAUUUAUUUUUGGGACAGAGAGAGACAGAGCAUGAACGGGGGAGGGGCAGAGAGAGAGGGAGACACAGAAUCCGAAGCAGGCUCCGGGCUCUGAGCUGUCAGCACAGAGCCCCAACGCGGGGCUCGAACUCAUGAACCAUGAGACCAUGCCCUGAGCUGAAGUCAGAUGCUUGACCCACUGAGCCACCCGGGCAUCCCUCAGUGAGUUUUUUGAGUAUUGCAAUUGAUGAGGAAAGCCAAUAUUUUUUUGCUUUCACUUGGGAAGGAUGGAAAUAUACCUGGGCAGGAACGCCUACGGCUUCACAGAGGGUCCUUCUUACUUUUCACAAAUCUUCGCAGCUGAUUUGGAUGACCAUAACCUUUCCUGAAGGUUCUGCUUUGUUACCAUAUGCCCAGGAGUUGCCUCUCUGCUCCCCUUCUGAAACCUCUUCACAGAAAGACAGCAUCCACCUGUUAACAUCUGUGACCUUAAAGGGCCAUAAAGCCUCCAAAGAAAAAUUGCUAUUUGCUCACUUGAUCUCAGAACAAGUUUGGAUCCAGGCAGCCUUCAAGGCAUCCUGAAUUUCCCCAAAUCUGAAAAUAAGUGCCCAUUACGAGGCUUUCUUGGACUGGAGAGGACUACUGGCAGAACUGGGUGCCAGACUUCUCUCUACAAGCUCAAUCGCCAUAUGGCUUACUAAAAACAACAGGCCUGGGGCACCCGGGUGGCUCCGUCGGUUGAGCGUCCGACUUCGGCUCAGAUCGUGAUCUCGUGGUUCGUGAGUUCGAGCCCCGCGUCGGGCUCUGUGCUGACAGCUCAGAGCCUGGGGCCUGCUUCGGAUUCUGUGUCUCCCUCUCUCCCUGCCUCUCCCCUGCUCGCACUCUGCUCUCUCUCUCAAAAAUAAAUAAACAUUUUUAAAAAUUUAAUUUAAAAAAAAAUGGCUCCUGUGUCCAAAAAUUAUUAGCUGCCAUACAUGUGCUGGUCUCUCAGGCUAUUAUUAAGAUGGCCAGGCAUUCCAGACUCAAAUCCCUGGAGGACAAAAUAAACCACCUCGCUGACGUUUCUGCCCCAAAUGCCGCUCUCCAGAAAGCCAAUAGCUAAACCUCUGUCAUGGUCCAAAGGGACAUUCUCCCACACGAUAAUUUGGAAACGACUGACCAGAGACAUCCAAUAAUUGGCUCCAGAAAAGGAAAAAACAAUAUUGGGAAUCUAAUAAUUGUUGGUUUGAUAAAAAGAGAGAACUCUGGUUUGGACCAAGGAAUUCGGCCCUAGCAGAAAUCCUGAAAUUCCCACGAGUUACCACUGUAUAGGCAUUAAGCCAUCGGUCUCUUGACAAAAUGAGAGCAUCCAUGAACCAGUGCUGGUGAGGAAUGGCAAUAAAACCACCAAAAGUGCCUAUCUCGCUUGUCUCACCUGUUCAAAAUACAAUCCUGGGAAACCUGUUUGCACAAUGGAUUUCAUACAGCUUCCAAUGCUCGUGGGUUCAAGCCCUGCAUCCGGCUCUGCGUUGACAGUGUAGAGCCUGCUUCAGAUCCCCUGUCUCCCUCUCUCUCUGCCCCUCUCCAGUGCCUGCUCUCUCUCAAAAAUAAGCAAACAUUUAAAAAAUUAAUAAAAAGGGGGUGCCUGGGUGGCUCAAUCGGUGAAGCGUCUGACUUCGGCUCGGGUCACGAUCUCACGGUUCGUGGGUUCGAGCCCCGCAUCGGGCUCUGUGCGGACAGCUCGGGGCCCAGGGCCCGCCUCGGAUUCUGUGUCUCCCGCUGUCUCUGCCUCUCUCCUGCUUGAGCUCUGUCUCUCUGUCUCUGUCUCUCCCUCUCCCUCUCAAAAAUAAUUGACAUUAAAAAAAACUUUAAAAAGUUAAUUAAAAAAAAAAAGAGAGAAAAGAUUCUCUCCACCUGGGGACUCCUCUCGAACUUCAUAGCAAUCGGGGAACCCAUUUUACCAGUCAGGUGCCUCAACAACCAGUCCGCUGUUUGGCUGGUUUAACUUUGACGGUGCAUAGCAUCCUCAAGCCUCAGGGUCAGUGGAAAACACUAACAGCAUCAUUAAGACUCGAUUUAAGGGGCACCCGGCUGGCUCCAGCCGGUAGGUAGAGCAUGCGACUCUUGAUCUCCGCGUCAUGAGUUCAAGGCCGACGUUGGCCAUAGAAAUUACUUAAAAAAAAGAAAAAAAAAAAGACUCAAUUUAAGACACAAAAUUUGUACAGACUCUCCAAAUGCACCGAGAACAUUGCCGUUGGUCUUUGAAAUCUCAAGUGCACCCCGUCUGGAACUCCUAGAUGGUCACCCUUUGAGAUAGUCACAGGAUGUCCAGUGCACUUGACCGCUGUCUUUUUGGCCCUACAGUUGAUAAAACUGUAGGGGCGCCUGGGUGGCUCAGUCGGUUAAGCGGCCGACCUCGGCGCAGGUCAUGAUCUCACGGUCCGUGAGUUCGAGCCCCGCGUCGGGCUCUGUGCUGACAGCCUGGAGCCUGUUUCGGAUUCUGUGUCUCCCUCUCUCUGACCCUCCCCCGUUCAUGCUCUGUCUCUCUCUGUCUCAAAAAUAAAUAAACGUUAAAAAAAACAAAACAAAACUGUAAAACCCUAAUAGCUUCUAGAAGAAACUAACCCUGCUGUGGUAGAAAGAUCUUUUCACAGCCCGCUCCCCGGGGGCCGACGACCUUAAGCAUCACCCCUUGCCAACCUGGUGAUUUCACCUCUUGGAAGAGACACCUCCGGGGAGGUGGUCUUCAGCCUUGCUGGGAAGGCCCUUCUCAGGUACCGCUAACCACCCUUGUGCCACCAGACGCCACAGAGAACAGACUUGGGUUCACGUGACUUGUCUAACCCUGGCUGGGCCUGCGUACCAUCUGGUGACUCGUUAGCAACCCCUGCAAUGGACUAUUACUCAGCCAUAACAAGGAAUAAAGCGCUGACACGCUACGACAUGGCUGAACCUCAAAAACACGGUGCGUGAAAGAAGCCAGACACAAAAGGCCGCACAUAGUGCGCGACUCGAUUCAUAGGAAAUGUACAGAACAGGCCACGCCCACGCCGAGGAGGGGCCCACCCCCCUCAGGCCAGGCCCUCUGGUCAGUUCCAUCUCCACGAUGCUCCGCCCAUCUGCCCAUUGUCACCUACACUCCCCGCCUUCUCGUCGGCCCCGCCCACCAUCUCACUGCCAAGUCUAUCUUCUCGGUUGCCUAACCAGGACCCCCAAGUGCUCCCUCCAGCCUGUCCCCCGCCAAACCUGCCCUGGCAACGGACCCACCCAUCUCGCUAGCCAAGCCUGUGGCCCCGAAGUCCCCACCCCCAUCACCUGUAAA